GUGCGAUACAGCGGCAUACGGCUCCGUAACACGUGGAUAACCUACCCACGGGAAGGGGAUAACCCCGGGAAACUGAGGCUAAUACCCUAUAUACAAAAGAAGUUGGAAAACUCUUUUGUGCAAAGGUCCGCCGCCCGUGGAUGGGUCCGCGCCUGAUUAGGCUGUUGGUAGGUAAAGGCCUACCAAACCUUUGAUCAGUACGGGUUGUGAGAGCAAGAGCCCGGAGAUGGGGACUGAGACAAGGCCCCAGCCCUACGGGGCGCACAGCUACAAAACUUCGCAAUGCCCGAAAGGGUGACGAGGGAACCCCAAGUGCUUCCGUUUUACGGAAGCUUUUCUUUGGCUUAGUGAACCAGGGGAAUAAGAGCUGGGUAAGACCGGUGCCAGCCGCCGCGGUAACACCGGCAGCUCAAGUGGUCGCCGCGUUUAUUGGACCUAAAGCGUUCGUAGCCGGACAUCUAAGUCUCCAGGUAAAUCGUGCGUCUAAUCGUAUGGCUUCUGGAGAUACUGCAUGUCUUGAGGCCGGGAGAGGUGGGAGGUACUCCGGGGGUAGCGGUAAAAUGCUAUAAUCCUCGGGGGACCACCGGUGGC
rnacentral:rRNA from 1 species